rnacentral:rRNA from 1 species
GACCGCCUACGGGACGCAGCAGUGAGGAAUAUUGGUCAAUGGCCGAGAGGCUGAACCAGCCAAGUCGCGUGAGGGAUGACGGCCCUACGGGUUGUAAACCUCUUUUGUCGGGGAGCAAAGAGAGUUACGUGUGGCUCAUUGAGAGUACCCGAAGAAAAAGCAUCGGCUAACUCCGUGCCAGCAGCCGCGGUAAUACGGAGGAUGCGAGCGUUAUCCGGAUUUAUUGGGUUUAAAGGGUGCGCAGGCGGAGGUGCAAGUCAGUGGUCAAAUUGCGGGGCUCAACCCCGUACUGCCGUUGAAUCUGC